UGCCUAUAAUGGUGAAACCGCGAACGGCUCAUUAUAACAGCUAUAAUGUACUUGAUGUUGAUUAUCCAACGUGGAUAACUGUGGUAAUUCUAGAGCUAAUACAUGCACCAAAGCUCCGACUUAUGGACGAGCGCAUCUAUUAGAUUAAAACCAAUCGGGUUUUAUUAACCCGUAAAUUGGUGACUCUGAAUAGCUCUGGCC
rnacentral:rRNA from 1 species